GACGAACGCUGGCGGCAUGCUUAACACAUGCAAGUCGAACGGAAAGGCCCUGCUUUUGUGGGGUGCUCGAGUGGCGAACGGGUGAGUAACACGUGAGUAACCUGCCCUUGACUUUGGGAUAACUUCAGGAAACUGGGGCUAAUACCGGAUAGGAGCUCCCGCUGCAUGGUGGGGGUUGGAAAGUUUCGGCGGUUGGGGAUGGACUCGCGGCUUAUCAGCUUGUUGGUGGGGUAGUGGCUUACCAAGGCUUUGACGGGUAGCCGGCCUGAGAGGGUGACCGGCCACAUUGGGACUGAGAUACGGCCCAGACUCCUACGGGAGGCAGCAGUGGGGAAUAUUGCACAAUGGGCGGAAGCCUGAUGCAGCAACGCCGCGUGCGGGAUGACGGCCUUCGGGUUGUAAACCGCUUUCGCCUGUGACGAAGCGUGAGUGACGGUAAUGGGUAAAGAAGCACCGGCUAACUACGUG
rnacentral:rRNA from 1 species